rnacentral:rRNA from 1 species
UACGGGGGGAGCAAGCGUUGUUCGGAUUUACUGGGCGUAAAGGGCGCGUAGGCGGUCGUGACAAGUCACUUGUGAAAUCUCCGGGCUUAACUCGGAACGGUCAAGUGAUACUGUCGGACUAGAGUACAGAAGGGGCAACUGGAAUUCUCGGUGUAGCGGUGAAAUGCGUAGAUAUCGAGAGGAACACCUGCGGCGAAGGCGGCUCCUCUAGUACGGUACUGACGCUGAGACGCGAAAGCGUGGGGGAGCGAACAGG